rnacentral:siRNA from 1 species
GUAACGAUCUGGGCACUGUCUCGG